rnacentral:rRNA from 1 species
UUUUCUCCCGGCUGCGGCCGGGAGAAGAAACUUUCUAAAAUAUAUUUACUUUUCUUUAUCUCAGUAUGUUAAAAUAUUUGCCCGUCGCGGGCAGUCUUUAAGUCGAAAGAUUAAAGAGUAAAGUCAAAGACUUUUACACUUUAUGACCUUAGACUUUAGACUAAAAACCUUAAGGUGGUUAUUGCGGCGGGGCUCACCUCUUCCCAUCCCGAACAGAGUAGUUAAGCCCGCCUGCGCAGAUGGUACUGCAGUAUUGUGGGAGAGUAUGUCGCCGCCUUUU